rnacentral:rRNA from 1 species
CGUGUGCUUACAAGUAGUCAGAGCCCGUUAAUGGGUGAUGGCGUGCCUUUUGUAGAAUGAACCGGCGAGUUACGAUUUGAUGCAAGGUUAAGCAGUAAAUGUGGAGCCGUAGCGAAAGCGAGUCUGAAUAGGGCGUUUAGUAUUUGGUCGUAGACCCGAAACCAGGUGAUCUACCCUUGGUCAGGUUGAAGUUCAGGUAACACUGAAUGGAGGACCGAACCGACUUACGUUGAAAAGUGAGCGGAUGAACUGAGGGUAGCGGAGAAAUUCCAAUCGAACCUGGAGAUAGCUGGUUCUCUCCGAAAUAGCUUUAGGGCUAGCCUCAAGUGAUGAUUAUUGGAGGUAGAGCACUGUUUGGACGAGGGGCCCCUCUCGGGUUACCGAAUUCAGACAAACUCCGAAUGCCAAUUAAUUUAACUUGGGAGUCAGAACAUGGGUGAUAAGGUCCGUGUUCGAAAGGGAAACAGCCCAGACCACCAGCUAAGGUCCCAAAAUAUAUGUUAAGUGGAAAAGGAUGUGGCGUUGCCCAGACAACUAGGAUGUUGGCUUAGAAGCAGCCAUCAUUUAAAGAGUGCGUAAUAGCUCACUAGUCGAGUGACACUGCGCCGA